UACAGAGGUCUCAAGCGUUGUUCGGAUUCAUUGGGCGUAAAGGGUGUGUAGGUGGCGCGUAAGUCGGGUGUGAAAUCUCGGGCUUAACUCCGAAACUGCAUUCGAUACUGCCGUGCUUGAGGACUGGAGAGGAGACUGGAAUUUACGGUGUAGCGGUGAAAUGCGUAGAUAUCGUAAGGAAGACCAGUGGCGAAGGCGGGUCUCUGGACAGUUCCUGACGCUGAGGCACGAAGGUCAGGGGAGCAAACGGG
rnacentral:rRNA from 1 species